rnacentral:rRNA from 1 species
UAGGGAAUCUUCGGCAAUGGACGAAAGUCUGACCGAGCAACGCCGCGUGAGUGAAGAAGGUCUUCGGAUCGUAAAACUCUGUUGGUAGAGAAGAACGUUGGUGAGAGUGGAAAGCUCAUCAAGUGACGGUAACUACCCAGAAAGGGACGGCUAACUACGUGCCAC